UGAGGAAUAUUGGACAAUGGGCGCAAGCCUGAUCCAGCCAUGCCGCGUGCAGGAAGAAGCAUCUAUGGUGUGUAAACUGCUUUUGUACGGGAAGAAACACUCCUACGUGUAGGAGCUUGACGGUACCGUAAGAAUAAGGAUCGGCUAACUCCGUGCCAGCAGCCGCGGUAAUACGGAGGAUCCAAGCGUUAUCCGGAAUCAUUGGGUUUAAAGGGUCCGUAGGCGGUUUAAUAAGUCAGUGGUGAAAUCUGGUCGCUCAACGAUCAAACGGCCAUUGAUACUGUUAGACUUGAAUUACUGGGAAGUAACUAGAAUAUGUAGUGUAGCGGUGAAAUGCUUAGAUAUUACAUGGAAUACCAAUUGCGAAGGCAGGUUACUACCAGUGGAUUGACGCUGAUGGACGAAAGCGUGGGGAGCGAACA
rnacentral:rRNA from 1 species